CGAUCUUAUGUGUGGCAUCUCUCCGAACCCCCUCAACCGUCCGGACUUCUUCGACAAUGAACUUCUACAUUCAUCCACUGGGCCACCCCAAAGGCCCUCAGGGCCCCACUAUUAGCCGACCUUCUACAGCAACCGACUACCCCCGAACUUCUUUCGGACUUCAUCAGCAUCCGAGCUUCCCCGACAACGAGAUUUCUACAGUAACCAGACUCUACCCAAGUUUCUACGGCG
rnacentral:lncRNA from 1 species